GGAAUUCAGUAGUCCAGCAGAGACAAGGUGGUGGCAGCUCCAUGGCCCCUGGUCCAGCCAGUAGCAAGAUUUACUAUGGAUCUGUCACUGUUCACAUCACCAACUAAAAUAAUUGACAGUAUGGGUCCCAGUGUGUCCCUGAUACUAUUAUCAGCCACCAACAGGACACAAGCUCAUUGAUUCCCACCAUCUGAGCUUAGCAAUCCAUCCGUUUUUCAGCACCCAAAACAGUACUGUGUUCCAGACCUCAGCUUCCAAAUGAGAAUGCAAUGAGAGAUGGUGUUACAAGACCUACCAGCAUCCAACAGUAUCAUAGUCACCACUCUCCCCUCAUCCAUACAGACAGCAAUUUCUUUGCAAAAGGCAAGAAGACUGGAUAAGCAUCAUCCUUGAAAAAAAUCAUAUUGACUGCUCCUGGUUUCUGUCCUGUUCUUUACAUCUCAGUAAACAGACUGAUUCCAUUACUUCAAGAUCUGUCUGGGGACAGAGCAGACAGCUGGAAGUUGGAAGGCUGCCAAGCUGAAGGGAAGUGGAAACCAUAUUUUCUGUAAUGCAGUCAACAGUCCUUAAUCAGGCCCAGGACCCUAAGGGCUCUAAGAACAAACCCCAAAUAGUCAAGAUGUUUCUAAGGUAAUAUUAAGGAAUUUUCCAACAUAAAACAUUUUUGCUUCAAAUGGACUGAAAACCCAAACUAUUCUAUGAUUCUACAAGAAAGAGAGACUCCAUGUUAUUUCAAAGUCAAAGAAUCAAAUAAGACAUCUUUACAAGUAUCCAGUAUGAUGACAUCUAAAAUUUCCAUACAAAAUGCUUUCUUGCUUAUAUUGAUCUCAGAAAGCUUUGGUUGAUAAGGAACAGUGUAUAGAACCCAAUGCAUCAGACUUGCAUAGUUUAAUACACAAGGAGAGCCUAUUGGUGAAGACUUCUUGUUCCAGAAGCAGGAUGCACCAUGCUCACAGGCUCUUGUCCUGCUGGGGGACUUCACCCACCCUGACAUCUUCCAGAAAAUUAGCACAAUAAACUGUAGCAAUCCAAGAGACUCCUGGAAUGCAUGAAAGAUAAUUUCAUGAGCCAAGUAGAGAGCCCUACAAGAGGGAAUGUGUUACUGGAUCUGAUGGUCACCAACGUAAGCAAGCAAAUUGGGGACAUCAAAACUGAAGGCUGCCUGGGCUACAGGGAUCAUAUAUUGUUGGAAUUUGGAGUCCUGAGGGAAAUUUGCUGAUGACACCAAGCUGAUUGCUGUGGCUGACACACCUGGAGGACAGGAUACCAUCCAGAGGUACCUGGACAAGCUCAAGAAACAGAUCUAUGGGAACCUCAGAGAUUUAACAAGACUAAGAGCGAGGUUCUGUACCUAGGUUGGGGCAGCCCCCUGUAUCAAUCAAGGCUAAAGGGAUGAACAGCUUAAAAGCAGCCCUUCUGAGAAUGACUGAGGGGUGCCAGUGGACAAGAGGCUGGACCUGAGCUGGUAAUGUGCACUUGCAGCCCAGAAAGCCAAUUUUUUGGGCUGCAUCAAAAGGAGUGUGAUCAGCAGGUUGAGGGAUGUGAUUCUGCCUCUCUACUCCACUCUGGUGAGAUCCCACCUGGAGUACUGCAUUAGGCUCUGGAGUGCCCAGCACAGGAAAGAUGUGGACCUGUUAGAGUGAGUCCGGAGGAGGCCAUCAAGAUGAUUAGAGGGAUGAAACUCCUCUCCUGUGAGGAAAGGCUGAGAGAAUUAGGAUUGUUCAGCCUGGAGAAUAGAAGUCUUCAAGGUGACUUCAUUUCAACCUUCCAGGGCCUAAAGGAGACUAAAAGAAAGAUGGAGAAAGACUAUUAGCAAGAGCAUGUAGAGAGAGGACAAUGAAGAAAGACUUUAAACUGAAAGUACUUCUCAGGAUGCUGGAAUAACUUUGACCGGCUUUGAAAACUACAAGCUAAGACUUCUUAAAAAAAAUUGAGUUACAUGCUGUAAUUCAUCAUAGACAUAGAUGGACAGACCUUCUAUUUAAAGGUAACUCUUUAACGUGUCUUAAAAGUGCUUUAGCUGACAUAGAAUGAAUUAUGAAAGUAGCUCAUGAUUAUUCCAAUUGUUAUAUUUUUGUAUGCUCAGUCUGUCACCUGGUCACUCAGCUCAUUCUACUUAGGUCAUAUGAAAAUAUUUUUUAAAAUAUAGUGCAGAACACUUUAUAUAACUAUGCAGUUUUAAAUUCUUUGAUGAACAAUAGCUGCACACAGUAUUUUCUUGAUUCCAAAGUAUCAGGAAUGAUCCACAGAAUAGUACUUCAUCUGGCAAUUGACCAGCUAACCCAUACACAGAAUAGUUCUAUGAAUGACAAUUAAAAUAAUGUGCAGAUAUUGAAAGGCAAAUGAAAGCAAUGGGCAUUUCUACUGAAGUGAAAGAAAGUAAAAGUGGCUGUAAAAUGGAAAAAUAUCAGUGAAUCAAACCGAGUAUCCUUGUACAAAAAUCUAGUGAGUUUUAGUAUGUAUUUUACUUUCUAUUCUGGUCUGUAGUUUUUAAUGCUGCUUCUAUAAGAUCUUACAGAAGCAUUUUGUUCUUGCUCACUUUUAGAGUUGGGAUGUUUUUCGGAAGGACUACAUUGUCAAAAUUAUUUUCUGUAUUUCCCAGUAUAUAUUGCAUUUUAAUCUCCAGUUUGUGUCUUUUUUGUAUUUCAAAUGUGUGAACUAUUCCAGGUGUUUUUUCAAAAAUUGCUGAUUUUAGCAAGCAGAGAUUUUGAUGUGACUCUUAUCUGAAUUGUUGCUGACAAUGUAAUAUCUGUAUUUUUCCAGCCUGAAUGAGUUCUCAUGGCUGGUAUUUUUCUACAGAGUUGCACAUAUUGUUUUUUUCUUAGGAAAGUUGCAAUGUCAUAUAUUAUGUGUGUGGCUGGUGUUAUCACUAUCUAUAAGCAAAUGUCAGAAAAGUGUCAUUUAAUGGACAAAGUUAAAACAAUACAAUUUUAAGAAAUGUAUACAAAAAAAUUUAAUUUUUAUGCAUUUUAUAGGUUUUUUUUAGAAAAAAUAGCUGCGUAUAUAAUUAUUAAGGAAAUCAUUGAUUUAUUAAUAUAACAUAGGGAACAUUUAAAUUUUCAUAGUUUACUUUUUGAGGGAAACAUGUGACACAUGACUACCACUU